rnacentral:misc_RNA from 1 species
AAGUCGUAACAAGGUCUCCGUUGGUGAACCAGCGGAGGGAUCAUUACUGAGUUACACUCUCAACCCUUUGUGAACUUUACCCAUGUUGCUUCGGCAGGUUUUCCCUGGGAGGGAAUUUAUUCUUAGGAAUAAUCUGCCAGAGGCUUGCAACUCUUGAAUUUUCAAUGGCUUUCUGAAGACAUUUAAAAAAAAUAAAAACUUUCAGCAACGGAUCUCUUGGUUCUG